rnacentral:rRNA from 1 species
UACAGAGGUCCCAAGCGUUGUUCGGAUUCACUGGGCGUAAAGGGUGCGCAGGUGGGCUGGCAAGUUCGAUGUGAAAGCCCCGGGCUUAACCCGGGAAUGGCAUUGAAAACUGUCGGUCUGGAGGGUUGGAGGGGGGACUGGAAUUCGUUGGUGUAGCAGUGAAAUGCGUAGAUAUCAGGAGGAACACCGGUGGCGAAGGCGGGUCUCUGGGCCGAUACUGACGCUGAGGAGCGAAAGCGUGGGGAGCGAACAGG